CUCUUUCACGUAACCCUCACCUUACCUUCUUUAUUACACUCGUUUAAUGAUACACAGAACCAGCUUCUCUUCAACAGAAAUCCGGAUUAUUUGGGCCUACCUCCCUCAUUGAUGGUAAUUAAUUUGACGAGUAGUACUUCAUGUACAGGAGCCAAAAAUCAGUAAAGAAUAUCUUUAAACAUGAGGGAGGCAAGGUAUAAUCAACAGCGAGUUUGCCUACAUAGAUCGUGACUUUAUGCAGAUCUAUGUAGGUAAAGUCUCUGUUGAUUAUAUCUUGCCUCCCUCAUCAAAAAUACAGGCAACUCGAGUCCUAACACCUCUAUGAUGGUCGGCUAGAUUAACAUGAGACCAACGUACAGGGGAUUGAGGUGUCAUUGUACCAUUAACGAAGUGAAAAAUAAAUACUAUAGAAAGAUUCCCGUUUGUAUUAAUCAUCUAACACAUUUCUUCCAGUAAGUAUUUUUUUACCUCGAUACGAAUAACGUGAUCCCUGCACAUCGUAAAAAAAGAGGGUAACGUUGCGUGCCCGUACAAACGAUAUCAGUUAUUUUAGGGAUUAGGCACUGUAAGACUAGUUAAUAGAGCUUGUCUGUGUACAUCACUAACUAUUGAAUUUAUUUUAGUUCAAUAAAAGGAUUUGAUUCUAAAAAAAACGAACAAGGUCAGCAGUCGAUAAAACUUAAAUAAAGUACUACACGGACGAGUAUAGACUCAGGACUGGUAGACCACGAGAAAAAGUCUAAACGAGUACUAAGAUGUCAAGAAAAGACUUGAACAAGCAGGAUAAGCCCUAAACGAAGAAGGUUAGAUGAUAAGACUAAAGGAAAAAGGGUCCGAACCAGUUCUUGAUCGUACGAUGUUUUAUCUAUUUCCUCACCGAACGACUACGAGUAUUAAGGUUCUACAAGAAUGUCUGGCGUGGAGAGACAAUACCCGUAGAAUCAAGACGUUAGUUCAACGAGUACACGUAUUUUGACGAUACUGUGUAGAUAAACAAAUUCUACAGUACAACAAGACGUUUAACUUCAAACACACAUGUGAUAGGGUGUUGUACCUCAUCACUCCUACGUCUCCGGGAUCUAGUUGGUGAACUACACUUAGUUAUAUCACCAACACGUUUCACAUAUUCCAGCAAAGACUUGGAGUCGUACCUCCGCAACGUGAUUCCCUACGUCACUAGAAGCGGGUCCCAUUAAAAAGCUCCUAAGUGAUCUCUGUCUGACGAUGCUCAACCAACCAAGCAUAGACCAGUCGCUAGCUAGUAAAAGUAGAAAACCAUAAGUCAAUCGGUCUAUUCAUGAUGCAUACCUUCUGAAGGAAACAGUUUUGGUCGAUCGAGUAACCAAGUAAAAGUACAUUAAUAGCCAUUGUGGAAAAACUUAGAACG
rnacentral:rRNA from 1 species